AUUGCCAGCUAGGGGAGUUCGCAAGAACUGAGAUGGGCCUUGCCCAAACCCUUUGAACCUGAUCCGGUUGAUCCCGGCGUAGGAAAGCGGCCAGAGUGAGAC
rnacentral:ncRNA from 2 species